rnacentral:rRNA from 1 species
CAAUACCUACGGGAGGCAGCAGUGGGGAAUAUUGCACAAUGGGCGAAAGCCUGAUGCAGCAACGCCGCGUGAAGGAAGAAGGUCUUCGGAUCGUAAACUUCUGUCCUUGGGGAAGAUAAUGACGGUACCCUUGGAGGAAGCUCCGGCUAACUAUGUGCCAGCAGCCGCGGUAAUACAUAGGGAGCAAGCGUUAUCCGGAUUUAUUGGGUGUAAAGGGUGCGUAGACGGGAAAUUAAGUUAGUUGUGAAAUCCCUCAGCUUAACUGAGGAACUGCAACUAAAACUGAUUUUCUUGAGUACUGGAGG